CAUAAUAUAGUGUUAAAGAGCCGCGGUAUCCUGACCGUGCAAAGGUAGCAUAAUCAUUAGUUCUUUAAUUGAGAACUUGUAUGAAUGGUCGGACAAGAGAAACCCUGUCUCUGCUAUUAUAAUAGAAUUUAACUUUUAAGUGAAAAGGCUUAAAUUUUUCAAGGGGACGAUAAGACCCUAUAAAGCUUUAUAUAUUAAUUAGAAUUAAUUAAAUUGAGUAUAUAAAAAUUUAGUCUUAAAAAUAUAUUUAGUUGGGGCGACGAAAGUAUAAUUGAUAAUAACUGCUUAAACUUAAUACAAUAAUAAAUGAUUUUUUUUUAGUUGAUCCUUUUUAAAGAUUAAAGACCAAGUUACUUUAGGGAUAACAGCGUAAUUUC
rnacentral:rRNA from 1 species